GGUUGUCAUGCCAAUGGCACUGCCCGGUAGCUAAAUGCGGAAGAGAUAAGUGCUGAAAGCAUCUAAGCACGAAACUUGCCCCGAGAUGAGUUCUCCCUGAGACUUUAAGUCUCCUGAAGGAACGUUAAAGACGAUGACGUUGAUAGGCCGGGUGUGUAAGCGCAGCGAUGCGUUGAGCUAACCGGUACUAAUGAACCGUGAGGCUUAACCUUAC
rnacentral:rRNA from 1 species